GAUGAACGCUGGCGGCGUGCCUAAUACAUGCAAGUCGAGCGAACAGAUGAGGAGCUUGCUCCUCUGACGUUAGCGGCGGACGGGGGAGUAACACGUGGAUAACCUACCUAUAAGACUGGGAUAACUUCGGGAAACCGGAGCUAAUACCGGAUAAUAUAUUGAACCGCAUGGUUCAAUAGUGAAAGACGGUUUUGCUGUCACUUAUAGAUGGAUCCGCGCCGCAUUAGCUAGUUGGUAAGGUAACGGCUUACCAAGGCAACGAUGCGUAGCCGACCUGAGAGGGUGAUCGGCCACACUGGAACUGAGACACGGUCCAGACUCCUACGGGAGGCAGCAGUAGGGAAUCUUCCGCAAAGGGCGAAAGCCUGACGGAGCAACGCCGCGUGAGUGAUGAAGGUCUUCGGAUCGUAAAACUCUGUUAUUAGGGAAGAACAAAUGUGUAAGUAACUAUGCACGUCUUGACGGUACCUAAUCAGAAAGCCACGGCUAACUACGUG
rnacentral:rRNA from 1 species